rnacentral:tRNA from 1 species
CGUCGCCGUGGGCGGAGGAGCCGAGGUUGUCGGUGAAGCCGAAGACGCGGACGCGGGUGGCGUUCUGGGUUCUGAUCUCGUCGGCGAUGCCC